CCUACGGGGGGCUGCAGUCGAGAAUCUUCGGCAAUGGGCGCAAGCCUGACCGAGCGACGCCGCGUGCGGGAUGAAGGCCCUUGGGUUGUAAACCGCUGUCAGAGGGGAUGAAGUGCGGGUGGGUUCUCCCAUCCGUUUGACAUAGCCUCAGAGGAAGCACGGGCUAAGUUCGUGCCAGCAGCCGCGGUAAUACGAACUGUGCAAACGUUAUUCGGAAUCACUGGGCUUAAAGGGUGCGUAGGCGGCUCAAUAAGUAGGGUGUGAAAGCCCCCGGCUUAACCGGGGAAUGGCGCUCUAAACUGUUGAGCUGGAGUGAGAUAGGGGUGUGUGGAACUUCCGGUGGAGCGGUGAAAUGUGUUGAUAUCGGAAGGAACGCCGGUGGCGAAAGCGACACACUGGGUCGCAACUGACGCUGAGGCACGAAAGCCAGGGGAGCAAACGGGAUUAGAUACCCCAGUAGUC
rnacentral:rRNA from 1 species